UGAACGCUGGCGGCGUGCUUAACACAUGCAAGUCGAACGGAGUUAUAUGAAACCUAGUGAUUAUAAACUUAGUGGCGGACGGGUGAGUAACGCGUGGGUAACCUGCCUUAUCCAGGGGGAUAACAGUGAGAAAUUACUGCUAAUACCGCAUAAGCGCACAGAAUCGCAUGAUUCAGUGUGAAAAGAUUUAUCGGGAUAAGAUGGACCCGCGUCUGAUUAGCUAGUUGGUGAGGUAACGGCCCACCAAGGCGACGAUCAGUAGCCGGCCUGAGAGGGUUGAACGGCCACAUUGGGACUGAGACACGGCCCAAACUCCUACGGGAGGCAGCAGUGGGGAAUAUUGCACAAUGGGGGAAACCCUGAAUGCAGCGACGCCGCGUGAGUGACGAAGUAUUUCGGUAUGUAAAACUCUAUCAGCAGGGAAGAAAAUGACGGUACCUGACUAAGAAGCCCCGGCUAACUACGUGCCAGCCGCGGC
rnacentral:rRNA from 1 species